AUUGAACGCUGGCGGCAGGCCUAACACAUGCAAGUCGAGCGGAUGAGAGGAGCUUGCUUCUCGAUUCAGCGGCGGACGGGUGAGUAAUGCCUAGGAAUCUGCCUGAUAGUGGGGGACAACGUUUCGAAAGGAACGCUAAUACCGCAUACGUCCUACGGGAGAAAGCAGGGGACCUUCGGGCCUUGCGCUAUCAGAUGAGCCUAGGUCGGAUUAGCUAGUUGGUGAGGUAAUGGCUCACCAAGGCGACGAUCCGUAACUGGUCUGAGAGGAUGAUCAGUCACACUGGAACUGAGACACGGUCCAGACUCCUACGGGAGGCAGCAGUGGGGAAUAUUGGACAAUGGGCGAAAGCCUGAUCCAGCCAUGCCGCGUGUGUGAAGAAGGUCUUCGGAUUGUAAAGCACUUUAAGUUGGGAGGAAGGGUUGUAGAUUAAUACUCUGCAAUUUUGACGUUACCGACAGAAUAAGCACCGGCUAACUCUGUGCCAGCCGCCACGGUAACAC
rnacentral:rRNA from 1 species